rnacentral:pre_miRNA from 1 species
AUAGUACUCCCUCCGUCCUAAAUUACUUGUCUUAAAUUUGUCUAGAUAUGGAUGUAUCUAGACAUGUUUUAGUGUUAGAUACAUCCGUAUCUAGAUAAAUCUAAGACAAGUAAUUUGGGACGGAGGGAGUAUAUC